rnacentral:lncRNA from 1 species
AGAUAUUUGGGAUGAGGCAGCAUGCUGGUCGCUCAGCAGCAUCCUUAUCACGUCAGCUGUGAGAGAAAUAAAACUGUGAGACUGUGAAGUGUAUAAAGGAGUCUACCGCUCUCCCGGGGCUCGGAGACCCACAGAUUGGAGAAACCCUCUUGCCAUGUGCUACCUUUUGCCAUGUUAUGAGGAAGCAAGAAGGCCCUAACCAGAUACAGCCCCUCGAACUGGG